GUACCUAUGGAGUAGAAGUUAACUCGUUCCCCUUCCAUAACUGGGCUUUACCGAGUGGUAAAGGGAAAGACCCGGGUGCAAGUCCCGGUGGGUGCA
rnacentral:tRNA from 1 species